rnacentral:rRNA from 1 species
GUGGGGAAUAUUGGACAAUGGGCGCAAGCCUGAUCCAGCCAUGCCGCGUGAGUGAUGAAGGUCUUAGGAUUGUAAAGCUCUUUCACCGGUGAAGAUAAUGACGGUAACCGGAGAAGAAGCCCCGGCUAACUUCGUGCCAGCAGCCGCGGUAAUACGAAGGGGGCUAGCGUUGUUCGGAAUUACUGGGCGUAAAGCGCACGUAGGCGGAUAUUUAAGUCAGGGGUGAAAUCCCAGAGCUCAACUCUGGAACUGCCUUUGAUACUGGGUAUAUUGAGUAUGGAAGAGGUGAGUGGAAUUCCGAGUGUAGAGGUGAAAUUCGUAGAUAUUCGGAGGAACACCAGUGGCGAAGGCGGCUCACUGGUCCAUUACUGACGCUGAGGUGCGAAAGCGUGGGGAGCAAACAGGAUUAGAUACCCUAGUAGUCC